AACGAACGCUGGCGGCGCGUCUUAAGCAUGCAAGUCGAACGGCAAGAGAGGAGCUUGCUUCUCUCCUAGAGUGGCGGACUGGUGAGGAACACGUGGGUAAUCUACCCUUAAGAUGGGGAUAGCUGCUAGAAAUAGCAGGUAAUACCGAAUACACUCGGCAUAUCACAAGAGGUGUUGAGGAAAGGAAGCUACGGCUUCGCUUGAGGAUGAGCUUGCGUCCCAUUAGCUAGUUGGUGAGGUAAGGGCCCACCAAGGCGACGAUGGGUAUCCGGGCUGAGAGGGUGAACGGACACAUUGGGACUGAGAUACGGCCCAAACUCCUACGGGAGGCAGCAGCUAAGAAUAUUCCGCAAUGGACGGAAGUCUGACGGAGCGACGCCGCGUGGAUGAAGAAGGCUGAAAAGUUGUAAAAUCCUUUUGUUGAUGAAGAAUAAGGGUGAGAGGGAAUGCUCAUCUGAUGACGGUAAUCGACGAAUAAGCCCCGGCUAAUUACGUG
rnacentral:rRNA from 1 species